rnacentral:piRNA from 1 species
UAUCAGCCGCUAUCAGUGAUGACC